rnacentral:lncRNA from 1 species
GUUAUUUGACCAGCAAAUUAACCUAAAAGUUUUCAAUUACUUAUGAUGAGCUUCUUAGAAAAUGCUUAUAGGAGAUCAUAACAGAUCUGCAAGGAAGAGUCCGAAACAAAGUAAUUGCUCAUUACAGUUCAUAGUUGUGGUUUAAGGCUAGUUUUGUCACGAUAAGCGCCAAAAAUAAUGUUCAAAGUAUUGCUCAUUACAAUUCUUAGUUGAGCCGCUUAAGGCUAGUUUUGCCUUGACGAUUAUAUGCUUCGUUCCCAAACUUAGAAAGCAUACUUUAAAAUAUAAUGUUUCAUUGACUAAAGCAAUGUCAUCUAAAGUCAAUCUAUAUUAAGUUUGUAUUUUUUUAUUUUUCAAUAAAUUGCACGAUGAUUGCUCAUCAAGAACUGAAGAAUUAUGUGUUCUUAUUUACACUCUUCCGCAACUGACAGCUGACAUGGAUGAAUUACUGAAAUAAUGGCUUGUCCAUGAUAUGUCAACAGCAUCUGGUACUUCAUAAACUGGUCAAAGGAGCUCGGAGCACUACUUUCCUCUUAGGGAUGACAAUUUCUUAUUUUCUUUGAUCAGGACUCUUGCAUGCAAAUAUUACUAGGAAGUCAUUAAUUUCAGAAGCUCGUCAACUUACACAAAAAGCAUGCAUAUGCAUAAUAACUAGUGAGUUCUGACACGUCAAUCUGUGUAAAUUAAACAUCUGUG